CCCUAGCCCUGAUGGAAACGACAUCCUUUUGUGUCUCGUUUUUUUGGACGAGACACAAAAGAUAUAGUGAACAGCAGGAAUUAGC
rnacentral:sRNA from 1 species